rnacentral:pre_miRNA from 1 species
GGGAACACAGGAUCCUGGGCUGUGUCCUCUGGCGCCCUGAAAUCUGGGAUCUGUGCUGCUGGAAUCACACUCCAGGGGUCUCGGCUCCU